UCGAGAAUCUUCGGCAAUGGGCGCAAGCCUGACCGAGCGACGCCGCGUGGAGGAUGAAGGCCUUCGGGUUGUAAACUCCUGUCGAGGGGGAGGAAGGUCGGGCAACCGGCUUGACCGAUCCCUGGAGGAAGCACGGGCUAAGUUCGUGCCAGCAGCCGCGGUAAGACGAACCGUGCGAACGUUAUUCGGAAUCACUGGGCUUAAAGCGCGUGUAGGCGGAUAGGGACGUCGGUCGCUGAAAUCCCCCGGCUCAACCGGGGAACGGGCACCGAAACGCCCUGUCUGGAGGGACGUAGGGGGACCUGGAACAUCCGGUGGAGCGGUGAAAUGCGUUGAGAUCGGAUGGAACGCCCGUGGCGAAAGCGAGGUCCUGGACGUCUUCUGACGCUGAGACGCGAAAGCUAGGGUAGCGAACGG
rnacentral:rRNA from 1 species